ACUGGAAAUGAGACUGCUUCAAGGGCCAAACCACCCCUGGGACAGAAUCCCAACUCCUGAUGGCCUUGAGCUGAAGGGGCUGUCUGCUCUGACUGGCUUCCAAAUCAGACACUGUCAUCAACAGGACAAACUUGAGGGCAACUCUGGAGGUGGCAAGUAAACUUAUAAAUUUCCCUUUUGGGUUCAGGAGCUGCCUACUCUGUGCUAAUCUCCUUCUCUGAGCAACCUUCCUCCAAAUCCUGUCAGGUAAUGGGGGAAAUGGCACCCCCUCCCUCCAAAAGAAAAAAUUCACAUCCCUUUAUAUUACUUAAGGGACCAGUCCCUGGUGAUGUCUAAAUACCCAACACCUCUUUAGGGCAAAAAUAUAUUUUCCAUGAUGGGUGUGUGCUUAAUAUUUACCUGACCUCUGAAUUCAUCUUUCUAAUAGCUCUAUUUCUCCUAGGAAAGCUACCUAAAUCUUUAACCAAUAACUUCAUCUUGGACCGUCCUACCCAGUGGUAUAGAAAUAGCCCACACUUAUUUGGACAAGCACUAGCAAAAAUCUAACUGAGCAAUCUCUUGGGGUGGGAUAACUUCUCCAGUACAGUAUGUAAAUAACCUUCUCAUUUGUUCACCCUUUACAGAACUUGCAAAGCAACAUGCAGUACAAAUCUUAACUUUCUAAUGGAAGGAAAAUGAUUUUUGUUGAAUUCAAAGGUUCUAAAGGCACGGAAGGUUAUAAAGAAGAGAUUUUAUAUAAAAAAGUAUCUUAUAUGGGCCUGGCGCGGUGGCUCACGCCUGUAAUCCCAACACUUUGGGAGGCCGAGGCGGGUGGAUCACGAGGUCAGGGGAUCGAGACCAUCCUGGCUAACACAGUGAAACUCCGUCUCUACUAAAAAAUAAAAAAAAUUGGCUCAUGCCUGGUGGCCCAGCACUUUGGGAGGCCGAGGUGGGCCGGAUCACCUGAGGUCAGGAGUUCAAGAGCAGCCUGCCCAAUAUGGUGAAACCCCGUCUCUAUUAAAAAUCCAAAAAUAAAUUAGCCGGGCGUGGUCGUGGGCACCUGUAAUCCCAGCUACUCAAGAGGCUGAGGCAGGAGAAUCGCUUGAACCCGGGAGGUGGAGGUUGCAGUGAGCCAAGAUCCCACCACUGCACUCUAGCCUGGGCGACAAGAGGGAAACUCUGUCUCAAAAAAAAAAAAAAAAAAAAUUAGCCGGGCAUGGUGGUGGGAACCUUGUAGUCCCAGCUACUGGGGAGGCUGAGGCAGAAGAAUGGCAUGAACUGAGGAGGCGGAACUUGCAGUGAGCCAAGAUUGCGCCACUGCACUCCAGGCUGGGCGACAGAGCGAGACUCUGUCCCAAAAAAAAAAGAAUCUGUUUUCUUUUGUAACAGGACACAAUUGGAGAAACUGGUUAUUUUACCAAGGCUUUGACUGGAAUGGCAUGCUUUUCUUUAAGGAAUCAAAAUGGAAUUAUGAAGCCAAUAAAAGCUCCUUCGGAAAACUGCCCUCAUACCUUGGCUACACAGUCCCUGUAUGGGGUUCCUGGCCUGUGGCCAUCAAGCUCCAGAUGAUCAUCAGUGAGGGAUACUGUCCUCUCAAUAUUCAAGAGCCACCCAUCUACAAAGGACCCCUAGACUGCUCAUCACUGGGACACGACAGAGGCAAAAUCCUGUCCCUGUCUCUCUUGGACAUGGUUGGAUACGGCUUUCACCAACUCAUGGAAUCAGCUCUGCCAUGACAGCUAGUAAGAGGCCAAGACCUGCAGAACAAUCACUACCACCCCUCCCUGUCAGCAGGAAUCAGUUACAGAAGACUGACCUUCAUCCAUUUUCCCCAAAGAAUUGGGGUACUGGACUCUUGAGGGGGAAAAUGUUACAGUAGGUAGCUAGUCAGGCAUAAGCAGGGCAGGAGACGGCCUAGCUUCCAAUCUCACCACACAUACAGACCAGGAAUGUCAGGCAACCAUCAGGUUAUGGUCAGGUGAUUGCUAACUGUCUCUUUAAAAUAAUAAUUGGUCACAGCCAAUGCCAGGGAAAGGCAGUCUCCCAAUAAAUAGAAACACCUGAAACUGGUGAUCAGCAGCGUCCUGAUAAGAUCUCAGGAGUUUGAUGAAUGGGCUCAAGCUUGCACAUUAAGAGGCAAAAUUGUGGAAUUUAACUAGUAUAUGGCCUUCCAGAGACAUUUGACUGGUAAGGGAAGAAUGCCUCAAAUGAGCAUGUAUACAACUCCAGUAAACACACUGUGCAUGCUCUCCUCUCAAGUGUUAGCAGGCCACUGCAAGUGCAGACAGCCCACCCAAGGGAAGAAACAGGGGAGAAGGGAUGCAAGGCCUUGGAAGCAUGCUAACGUAUGAACCCUAAGCCAAAGGUCAAACUGCGCACUUGAUCUCUCAAGUUGCCUGCUUUAGCCUCUUCCAAGGUAAUCUCUCAAGUCACCUGCUUCACCCUCUUCCAAGUGUGCUUUACCUUCUCUCAUUCCUGCUCUAAAGCUUUUCAAUACACUUUCACUCCUGCUCUGAAACUUGCCUUGGUCUCUCCUUCUGCUUAUGCCCUUCAGUCAAAUUCUUUCUUCUGAGGAGGCAAGAGUUGCGAUUGCUGCAGACCUGUAUGGAUUUGCCACCAGUAACAAAACUUUCAAAAAUCAAAGACAGAGAAUUUUGAAAGCAGCAAGAAAAAACAUUUGUCCUAAUUUCAAAUUAUAUUAGAAAACUGUAGCAAUCAAAGGAGCAUGGCACUGGCAUAAAAACAGACACACAGACCAAUGAAAAAGAAUAGAGAACCCAGAAAUAAACCCACGCAUAUACAGUUAGCUAAUCUUCAACAAAAGCACCAAGAAUACACAAUAGGGAAAGAAUAGUGAAGGAAAUUAAAAUAUUUUAUCCAAAAAUAUAUUUCUUUGACAUAUUUUUAAAUGGCUGCUACUUGGCCAGCAGACAGAAGUGGCCUUGUGAAGCUAUUCUAAGUGGGGGAAAUUUGCAUCUGUAGAGAAUCUUCAUUAAUGAAGCCAUAUCCCCUCCCAUUUCUAUGCCUUCUCCCAGAUCCAGGAGAGGUUGAGAGUCUGACACCUUUAUUGUUUAUUUAUUUAAAACUUUUUCCUCCAAUACUGACAGAUGAACUGACACCUUUAAAAAUCUGAAAAGAAACAUUUACCAUCUAUUCUCUCUGAGGGAGGCUUCAUCUACAUAAAAAAGCCACCUUUGCCAGCCAAGACUCCUCAUUUCUCUCUCUCUAAACCUGCCUUGCCACUAAGCCUGAUUUACCUGUUUCUGGACAUGCUCUGAGUCUGCAUUCUUUACUGUGGCCUCAGGAUAAUAUACACGUUUCCGUAACUCAUUGGGAAGUUGGGCUUUUAUUCUGAAGGCUCCCGUGGAUGCAUGUUAAAUAAAUUUUUAUGCCUUUUCUUUUAUUAAUCACUCUGCCUCACAUCAGUGAUUUUUACCAAAGCUUUAGAGAGCCAAGAGCCUAUGGCUCCCACAGCAGUCUCGUCUAUAAUUAGGCUGAGAAAACUGGAUAUCGACAUAUAAAAGAAAGAAAUUGUACUCCUAUCUUACACUAUACACAAAAAUCAACUCAAAAUAGAUUAAAGAGUUAAACAUAAGACCUGAAAACAAGAAACUCCUAGACAACAUAGGGAGAAAGCUUUCUGACAUUGGUCUUGGUAGUGAAUUUUAGAUAUAACAUCAAUAGCAAAGUUUACUAAAGCAAAAAUAAACAAAUGGAACUACAUCAAACAAAAACUUUCUACACAGGAAAGGAAACUAUCAACGAAGUGAAAAGAAAACUGACAGAAUAAGGGGAAAUAUUUGCAAACCAUAUCUCAGAUAAGGAGUUUCAUGCGCGUCCGUGUGAAGAGACCACCAAACAGGUUUUGUGUGAGCAAUAAAGCUUUUAAUCACCUGGGUACAGGUGGGCUGAGUCCGAAAAGAGAGUCAGUGAAGGGAGUUAAGGGUGGGGCCG
rnacentral:lncRNA from 10 species